UUCCCAGAUAGCAAAGUUUCUGGCACAAAUCUGGCUUACAUUGGGCAUUUAUGGCUAAAUUUAGGCUCUCUUUUGUUCACACCUUUGUGUGAAACAGCUUUCGGGGGAGUUGUGGGGUGAGGCUAGCCAGCCAAAAGCAAAAGGUACAUUUUUGGCUGAGUCCUGGCUUAAGUGUGGUCUGCCAGAAAAUAGUAAAUAUAUGGCAGAGUUCUGGCUAAGGUUUGGUUGGCCAAAGAGUAAAAAAAACACCAAAUAAAAUCAUAUUUACAAUUGAUAAAAACAUCAAAUUUAAUAUUUAAGGCAAUAAUAAAUAUGUUUAUCCUUAUUAAAAGACGAAAUGUAGAAAAUGUUAUUUUGGGCAGUUAAUCCAAAGGUGUCAAUGUGCAAUUUACAAACAAUGCAAUAAACAGAUAAAUUAAUAAUUCAGUCUGCACUAAUAUACAUCAAACAAAAGUAUUUUAAGUAUGUGUGCUUGUUUAAGUCUUUUUAGUUUUGUAUUUUAUUUUUUAUAAAUAAAUAAGACUUUACAUUAAAUUGUGUUUACAAUUAAAAAAUACGACUAACUAAUACUAAUAUUUAUUGGUGCACUUUCGUUUCUAAAACAAUGACAUAUAUUGCAAUGCACCUUGGAAAUAGUAGUCAUUUAACCUCAGCAGCGUUCAAUCCGCCGUGGAAAAUGGACUACCUUUCCCAUAAUGCAACUGGUCAUGAUCAGGAACUUCCGCGAAAUUCAAACCCCCACUGUGUACUGGAUGAAGGACACGCGAUCGUUUGUCUUGUGGAGUUUUAUAUAACACAGUAAGAUGUCAUGUACCACACUUUGUCAACAAUAAAUGUUGUUUCUGCAAUCUGGAUAAAGAAUAAUGUGAGUAAAGAAUAAUAAUGAGGUUAAUAAACCUAACCGUUUAAAUAAUAAACAAAUGUGUAUGUGUUAAGAUGUUUGACUCCUCUAUUUAAUAUAUAUUACUGCCUCUUGGAGAACAGCCGGCCGUACUCCAGACAGAGACAAAGACGUGAGGACAUCUAUUGCUUUUAAGUCAUGUAUCACACUUUGUCAACAAUGCAUGUUGUUCUUGCAAUCUGGAUGAAGAAUAAUGUGACUUUAAUACUUCAUUUAUAAUGUAAUAGUUUGAAUAUUAAACAAAUGUGUAUGUGUUAAGAUGUUUGACUUCUCUAUUUAAUAGAUAUUACUGCCUCUUGGGAAAACAGCAGACUGUACUCCAGACAGAGACAAAGACAUGAGGACAUCCAUUGCUUUUAAGUCCUAUACCAGACUAUGUUGUUCCAGCUGUCUGGGUAAAGACUGAUACAUUACUGCCUCUUGGAGAACAGCAAACCAUUCUCCAGACAGAGACAAAGACAUGGACAUCAAAACAGAAAAUUAAGUACUUGAUCUUAGAUUGUUUGGAGUGAACGCUGGAAAAUAAUGAAGCAGGAAAUUAAAAUGCUUGACUAAAACAAUUUUUAGAAAUCCUUCUGGAACUCUGAAAUCUGCAAACAUAUUUUUUCCCAUGUCUUGAAUUGAAUGUUAAAAGUAUCAGUUCUUGGACUGGCAGUGUGUACUAUAUCAUUUUUUCCUUACUCUUAUUCAUUUUAUGUAAAUGUAUUUUCUAACUGUAUUUUAUGAUUUUUUCUGUAGGCUGUAAGAAGUCCUUUGUGUGCACAGACAUGACUGGAGAUUAAAGUUACUAAAUGUUGCUUUUUUUCUAGCUGGUGUCAUAACAUGGUAUUAUUUUCAAAUGUAUUUAUCUAAUACACAUUUGCACAUCUGUAAACAUUCAUUUUAUAUAGGAUGUUUUUUAUAUUUAACCAGUUGUUGUAUAUUGCUUUCUGUUAUUACAUCUGUUUUUUUUUUGCCUGUUUAUUGAUUAAAACAAUUAAGUUAAGUAAUUAACAAUUAAGUUAAUGUUUCUCUGUUAGCUUUUACUUUGGCUAUUUCUUUGUUUUUAUUUGAUCCUUCUACUGUUAUUUGUUUAUUUGGCUAUUUGGCAGAACAUUUGACAUUUCAUUUAUUUUGCUGUUAUCUGAAAUUAUCCUUGUCACCAUCAAUAAAACUCUCUAUAUUUGCUUUA